GAGUUUGAUCCUGGCUCAGAGCGAACGCUGGCGGCAGGCCUAACACAUGCAAGUCGAACGGACCCUUCGGGGUUAGUGGCGGACGGGUGAGUAACACGUGGGAACGUGCCUUUUGGUUCGGAAUAGCUCCUGGAAACGGGUGGUAAUGCCGAAUGUGCCCUUCGGGGGAAAGAUUUAUCGCCAUUAGAGCGGCCCGCGUCUGAUUAGCUAGUUGGUGAGGUAAAGGCUCACCAAGGCUUCGAUCAGUAGCUGGUCUGAGAGGAUGACCAGCCACAUUGGGACUGAGACACGGCCCAAACUCCUACGGGAGGCAGCAGUGGGGAAUCUUGCGCAAUGGGCGAAAGCCUGACGCAGCCAUGCCGCGUGAAUGAUGAAGGCCUUAGGAUUGUAAAAUUCUUUCAGUAGGGACGAUAAUGACGGUACCUACAGAAGAAGCCCCGGCUAACUUCGUGCCAGCAGCCGCGGUAAUACGAAGGGGGCUAGCGUUGCUCGGAAUUACUGGGCGUAAAGGGAGCGUAGGCGGACAUUUAAGUCAGGGGUGAAAUCCCAGAGCUCAACUCUGGAACUGCCUUUGAUACUGGAUGUCUUGAGUGUGAGAGAGGUAUGUGGAACUCCGAGUGUAGAGGUGAAAUUCGUAGAUAUUCGGAAGAACACCAGUGGCGAAGGCGACAUACUGGCUCAUUACUGACGCUGAGGCUCGAAAGCGUGGGGAGCAAACAGGAUUAGAUACCCUGGUAGUCCACGCCGUAAACGAUGAUUGCUAGUUGUCGGGGAGUUUACUUCUCGGUGACGCAGCUAACGCAUUAAGCAAUCCGCCUGGGAGUACGGGUCGCAAGAUUAAAACUCAAAGGAAUUGACGGGGGCCCGCACAAGCGGUGAGCAUGUGUUUAAUU
rnacentral:rRNA from 1 species